rnacentral:rRNA from 1 species
UACGUAGGUGGCAAGCGUUGUCCGGAUUUACUGGGCGUAAAGAGCGCGCAGGCGGUCGUUCAAGUCGCGUGUGAAAGCCCCCGGCUCAACUGGGGAGGGUCACGCGAUACUGAUCGACUCGAAGGCAGGAGAGGGUAGUGGAAUUCCCGGUGUAGUGGUGAAAUGCGUAGAUAUCGGGAGGAACACCAGUGGCGAAAGCGGCUCUCUGGCCCAUUCCUGACACUGAGAUGCGAAAGCCAGGGGAGAGAACGGG